rnacentral:rRNA from 1 species
GAUGAACGCUGGCGGCGUGCCUAACACAUGCAAGUCGAGCGAACAGACGAGGAGUUUGCUCGUUUGACGUUUGCCGCGCGCGGGUGAGUCACACGUGGAUACUCUCCCUAUAUGACUGGUAUAAUUUCGGGACUCGGGCGCUUAUCGCGGCUAAUAUAUUGCACCGCAGGGUUCAAUAGUGAGAGACGGCUUUUGUGGCAGUUCUCGGUUGUUCCGCGCCGAAUUGGGUGGUUGGUAAGGUAAAGGCUUACCAAGGCAACGCUGCGUAGCCGACCUGAGAGGGUGAUCGGCCACACUGGAACUGGGACACGGUCCAGACUCCUACGGGAGGCAGCAGUAGGGAAUCUUCCGCAAUAGGCGAAAGCCUGACGGAGCAACGCCGCGUGAGUGAUGAAGGUCUUCGGAUCGUAAAACUCUGUUAUUAGGGAAGAACAAAUGUGUAAGUAACUAUGCACGUCUUGACGGUACCUAAUCAGAAAGCCACGGCUAACUACGUG